rnacentral:piRNA from 1 species
UAAAGUUGUGCCACUAUUUGCUCC